rnacentral:lncRNA from 1 species
AGCAUAGAUCCGAGAGAGAGUUUUGUCUAGAGAGUAGGUGAAUCUUGAUCCCCUCAAACCCCUUUUCAUGGUCGAUAUGGCCAUAUCUUCAUUGAGGUCUCUGACCUCAAGUGUGGCCACGUUAAAUCGGGCCAUAAAAUCCCUUAAAGUCUCUAUCUCGCUUGCUUGAUUGAGAAGAGACUGUCUGAUGUCCGUGGCGGCCUUCGACUAGUGCU